rnacentral:lncRNA from 1 species
GAAGUCGAAAGUUUCACUGGGCUAAAGUGGAGGUGCUGGCAGGACUCCACUCCUCCUGGAAGCUCUGGGGUGGAUGCAUUUCUUUGCCUUUUCCAGCUUCUAGAGGCUGAGGGCUUUCCUUGGCUGAGGACCUUUCCUCCAUCUCCAAAGUCAAUGGCCUGGCAUCUUUAUGUCUCUCACUCUGACACUCCUACCCCCUUUUCACUCCUAAGGAUCCUGGAAAACCCUGGAUGAUCUCCUUGUCUCAGGUUCUCACAUGUACAACAUUCCUGUUGCCAAAAAAGAUAAAAUAUUCACCAAUUCCAAAGGAUUAGAAUGAGGACAUUUUGGGGGGACCUUUAUUCUGCCUACUACAGAGUAUUAUAUGUCAAGAAUAAAAACAAUUUUAAGGUGAAUGUUAGCUGUCCUCAUCCCUCAAGGUUUUCUUUCUCUUCUGUUAUGGUUUAGCUGUGAGGUGUCCCCCAAAAGCUCAUAUGUGAGACAAUGUGAGAGUGUUUAGAGGGGAAGUGAUUGGGUUACGGGAGCCUUAACCUAAUCAGUGAAUUAAUCCCCUGAUAGGGAUUACCUGAGUGGUAACUGUAGACUGGUAGGGUGUGGCUGGAGGAGGUGGG